CAAAACAUAGGAAAGUGACAGUCGUAUUAAAUUUCUUAACGUUAUUUCUCCCUUAUUAUUAAGAUUAAAUGCUUGUAAAAUGAAAAAUAACGUUUGUUUACCUAAUGAAUACAUUAUCUAUGGUGAGUGAUAUGAAUCGAAAUAAAUCGUGCGAUCCGUAUUAAUUAAAAUACGAGAAAUAAGAAUACGCAGUAUAUAAAAUAUAAUCAGUAAUUACGCAUAAUAUCUAAUGUGUAAUGUGUAAUGAUACAAUAACAGAUGUAUAUAUAAGGAAGGAGAUACGAAUGAAGUAAUAAUGUUUAUCAGUUUAUAAGUUGAACGCAAUUAUAGUUUGAUUUGUUUAUGAGGAGCGUCCACUUGCUUGCGUCUUACACGUAUAUUGGCAGAAUAGUUUAUUAUUCAAGAGUAAUAAAACUACGUGUAUAUGUCUGCUAUCUUGAAAUAUACUUUCUUCAGUAGUCUGUAUAUUUUCUGCUAGCGCCGAGAUCCACAUUUAGAACGUUAGUAAUAAGAACGUAAACGUAUUCGUGACGCGCAUGAUGGAUUAUGAAUCGUCCUAAAUUUUCAAUUUUCUGGUAACCCGUUACUGAAAAUCCGAUUAUAUGAAUUAAAUAGAAGGGAAUUUUAAAAUAUAAUCUUUUAAAUAAUUCAGCAAAUCUAUCGUGAUAUUUUAUGGUUCUAAAAUCUGUACGUUUCUGUCAAUAUGUUUAGAGUUUAAAAAGUCUUUAAUUUUUAUAAUUUACGUUUUUCAGAAUGCGAUCUGUUUAAUUUUCCUGAGGAAAUGUUUAGAACACGAAAAUAGAAGAUAAGCUAUUUUACGAUGUAGAAGAUGUCAGGAAAAAAAAUUCACCAUAAUAGAAAAAGGACAAAACGCUCAUUGUAACAUGAUGGACGUAUUAAGAAAAAAUGAUUAUGAGAUUUUACGCAAUCAAAAGAUGCAUGAGAUUACUCGAUUAAAAUAAACUGAAUAAUAACUUUUUUGUCCUUUCUACGCUGGUAUUCCUGUUUUUCCUUCUUGCUGGCACGCGAAGUAGAAAACACGGAGAAUGAAGACAGAGGUUGUAAAAAACAAUUCAACGAGAUUUGUCUUCGUGGAUGACAAGCGCAGAUUAGGAAAGCAAGACGUGAAACAACGAAUACUUUUAUUAAAAUUAGAAAGUUUUAAAAAACAAAAGUUAGAAAUUCAAAGAUUUAUCUUCUGACAAUCUGUAAAUCGUUUCAAGGAAAACAAUUUUGCGCACACAUUUUACGACCUGACGUUUGUCAAAGUGACGCACUAACUGUUUACAAUCCGCAAUUUCCUCAAUGGAAUCGUUCAUUCAGAUACGAAUUUCGUUAAUGACGAUUGCAUUAUAUUUAUGCGAUUUGAAGGAAGGAAAAUGCACAAAAUGCGGAUCGAUCGAUGACAACGAGAUUAAAAAACGGCAACGAGGAAAGAACUAUAAUAGAUUCUGUAUAAGAGCAGACGAGAAAAACUGUGAAUUACGCGGACAAGGGGAAAAAACGAGGAGAUAAACAAUUUGCAGAAGAAUGCAGGGAGGUUGGACGAGAAAAAUAGUUAACUAAACUAACUAAUAAUUAAUUGGAAUUUAAUAAGAAUUAAUUAAAAUUGAUAAGAUUCUCGAGUAUUUCAAGUGUCUCGAAAUACUGAAAUUACCUUUAAACUUUUGUAUUUACGAAUAGAUAUAUCGAUUGGCACAUAUUGUAGUGUACUGUACUGUAUUGAACAGCCCGGAAAGUUCGUUUCGAUUUACAUUUCGAAUCUCAGGUUUUUCGGUGAGAAACUUUUCAGUAUGAUCUUUCAUGUCGAGCAAAUUCCACAGAAAACGAAACGAAUUUUCCAGGCAACCCAAUAUUUAUAUAUUGAUUCUAUUGGCAUAGCCAAUAAAUGAUCAAAAUACAGAAAGAAAAAGCCACGCGAUAUUUAUCUAUCGUCGUGUUUCAUAAAAAGUCGGUCACAUUGCAUGCUAUAACGAUGUCAACCGACGAUUGGCGAGUCAGAGCGUGAGCGUGAAAAUUGGCAAGUUGAGGAUUUAAAGAUGGAUAAGGGAGAGGCGGAGGGUAGUGUGCAAACGGACCGAUAUAGAGAGUACGAAGAAACGAAAUGGAUAGUUUCCCGAGAGAGAGAGAGAGAGAGAGAGAGAGAGAGAGAGAAUUCCAGUUCCAGGCAAACUGUCUUGCCAGCAGUUCGAAGAUAGUUUCGGUCCAGAUUCCUCGGAGUUAGGCCAAACCGCGUUUCCAACCAAAACGUCCUCUGUUUUCAACGGAGUCGCUUCUCCACGUUGACUUCGAAACGAGCUUCUUCCGAAUGCUGAGCGUUGGAUUUCCUGCGUAAUCAAUUCAACGAAUACGAUGGUUUCCCUUCUUUUCUAAUUAUUGUUUGUAUUAGACGUUUGUAUCGGUAGACUUUAUUCGAUUACACGACAAUUUUUCGCUAAUGUUCGUUUCAAUGAUAGAAGUUGCUUUUUCCUCCUGACAAGUAAGUUGAAUCUUGAUGCAAGAUUUUAGAAAUGCCAUGGUUUCCAUGUGCAAUGAACAAAUGAUAUCAGUAAAUUAAGAGAUUGUAUUAUUUAGCAAUCGCAGUUUGCAGAAUUCCUUUGGACAAACUGUUUUCGCAAUUUUGCAAGUUAAAGUAAGAAAAUACUGCAAAUUAACGGAAUGAGUGAACAUUAUCCAUAAUCCAUUCAUCGUCAGCAAAGAAAAUUAUUAAUCUGUCGAAAUUUGUGAAAAUUUUGCAAAUAAUCUUCCACGACUCGCGUUGCUGUUGUACAAUGAACACUUAAGAAAAAGAGAAUGAAGUAUUAGUCAAUAAUUUUUUAAUUAUUGUUUACGACUGUUGCGUUGCUUGCAUGCAAUUAGCUAAUUCGCGAUUUAUAGAAUCUACUUGAAAUGCUUUAUUUGCUUUACUAUUACAUAAGAGAAUUUAUUAGAAUUAUUAGUACGACAUUUUCAUAAAUUACGCUAUUUUAUUAACAUUAACAAAUUAAUUAUGCAAGAGUCCCGUGUGGUUAUCUUAAGUAGUAAAGAUAGGAUUCCUAACUUUGGGUAUACGUACAGGAUAUCACGUGCUGUUACAUAAUAUACAUUACU